AGCACAAACUCUUAGGGAACCGAAUCACCACCACCACUGUAGUCCAGUAACUUCCCUUCGGUGUGUGUGUGUGGGCAUGUGUGUGCCCUGUAUGUCUGCGCAGCUCACUACCAACAGCCUCCAUGUGCACUUGACCUUGUGGUGCCUCCGGGAACUUUCCAGGUUGGCACCUGAAUGCCUUACUCUCAGCAGUCUGAGGCUCGCUUGCUCUGCGCACACGUUUCAGUCUCCUUUUUUGGCCCUAGGCUGGUUAGGAACCUGUACACCUUCACUAUUUCCUCUCUCCCCUCUAUAAGUUGCUGAAAUCACAAAGCACACUUUUGGGGAUCAUAGAAGGUUGGGGUUCCAGAAAGGCAUCUCUGUGAUGGUUCCAUUCACUAUGGGGAUUUCCCUACUUGCUGUCUUCUUGAUUUCUCUAAUAAAAAGAGCCAAAUGG
rnacentral:lncRNA from 1 species